rnacentral:lncRNA from 1 species
GUUGGCAUGACACGGGUUAUGUUCUUCUCAUAUAUGUUAUGAUGGUAUGAUACUAAACCCCUAACGGGAAGGAUUGUGCCUGAUGUUCAUAUUAUGAAAUCAUAAUCUUUCAGUCAGUUUAAUUGAAGAUUGGAGCUGGCAUGUCAGUUAACUGCUAGUAGUCUGUUGUUAUUUAUGUAUUAUUGUCAUUUUGUUCAUUUUCUUUGGUUACAUCUUCUGAUAUCAGACUCGAAUUUCUCUUGAACUGAAUUUAAAUGUGCGUAUUGUUAUGCGUUUACUUUUCUACAUUGGCUCGAGGUAUAGGUGGAGGGUUGGGAUCUCACAAACAUGUUUAACCCCGCCGCAUUUUUGCGCCUGUCCCAAGGCAGGAGCCUCUGGCCUUUGUUAGGCUUGUAUUAUUUUAAUUUUAGUUUCUUGUGUACAAUUUGGAAAUUAGUAUGGCGUUCAUUAUCACUGAACUAGUAGUAGUAUAUAUUUGUUUAGGGGCCAGCUGAAGGACGCCUCCGGGUGCGGGAAUUUCUCGCUACAUUGGAGACUUGUUGGUGACCUUCUGCUGUUGUUUUUUCGGUCGGGUUGUUGUCUCUUUGACACAUUCCCCAUUUCCAUUCUCAAUUUUAUAUACAGAUACAAAUACAGAGGAUGUCGCGGUCGUUGUUAAUGUGGAAAAUCGGGUCUCCCCUGCACUGCUUUGUUUUCAUGUGGUGGUGACAAUGAAUGAAUAUGUUUUUUUUAGCCAAAUAGUAGUAAUUUGAUUUUUUUUAAUGUGUUUUAGUAAUUUUAUUUUGUUU